UAUCCCUUUUUUUUUUGGGUGAACAAGGGAGGGGUAAGAACCCCCAACAACCAAAGAAACUAAACAACACAAAUCAUACGAGGUUUAGACAACCCCAACAGGUCAUCCACCAACACAGAGCCAAGCCAAUCAGGAGCCUCAUCAAGCAAAUACAAACCCAGAUCCAGGAUCCCCACGCAACUAGACACCAAAGCAGCAAGAAGAUGAAGGAGGAGAAGAUUGUGUUGUUGGAUUAGUUGAACUGCAAUAGCAGAAUCCAUCUCAAUGAUGAGUUUAGACAUUCUACUAUCAGCAGCAAGCUUCAAACCAAAGAGAAGACCCCAAAGUUCAGCCUCCAGCACCUGGCCUAUCCCUAAAUUAAUAGCAAAACCACCAUUCCACUCUCCAAGUGAAUUUCGAAGGACCCCUCCAGCACCAAUACAUCCAGAAGCAGCCCGUCGAGAGCCGUCCACAUUGAGCUUGAAGGUACCACGAACAGGAGGGCUCCAAGCAAGAAAAACCUGUGUUUUAACAGAAGCAGCUGUGGAACAUGCAAGGAAAGUUCAAGGAAGACUGAAGGAAAAUGAACCAUUUGGAAAGGAGCCUGAAAUCAUAUGUGCUUUCCUUGUCACUGGCAGAGUUG